UCCGCCAACAUCUGGUUAUCGUCUAUUGUUAACCCAGGAUUUUGGGAAUAAGGCAAUGUUCAAUAGGGAUUAAGGGAACGCUGUUUAUUGCCAGAUUCGGACAGUUUUCUCAAUGAGCAAACGUGAAAUCUUCAAUAGCCAGGUUUCAGCCGAUAGACAAUGACAAGAUAUCAAGGUAUUUUGAAGAUUUGCAACGAUGCAUUAUUUUGGGAUUUUUAUGGUCUUUUAUGAAGAUUGGUAGCUCUUUCGUUGCAUGGCACCCUUCUGAUAUUUUGGGUUAACGCUGGGGCUACCUACCAUGGUGGUCAAAGUUAUAGAAACAUGGGAGACUUACAAUGGUGUAUUUUAUUUUUAUUCUUUUGAUUAUUACUUAUCGAGUGGACCAAGAAU